rnacentral:rRNA from 1 species
GACAGAGGGUGCAAACGUUGUUCGGAUUUACUGGGCGUAAAGCGCGUGUAGGCGGCUUGGCAAGUCGGACGUGAAAGCCCACGGCUCAACCGUGGAAGCGCAUCCGAAACGGCCUCGCUCGAGUCUCGGAGAGGAAGGUGGAAUGCUUGGUGUAGAGGUGAAAUUCGUAGAUAUCAAGCAGAACACCUGCGGCGAAGGCGGCCUUCUGGACGAUGACUGACGCUGAGACGCGAAAGCGUGGGGAGCAAACAGG